CAAACGGCUCUUUUUAGAGCCAUCGAAAAUUAUUCCUCAAGAGUUGU
rfam:Aedes albopictus isolate Foshan contig139604, whole genome shotgun sequence.